UGGGGAAUAUUGGACAAUGGGCGCAAGCCUGAUCCAGCCAUGCCGCGUGUGUGAAGAAGGCCUUCGGGUUGUAAAGCACUUUUGUCCGGAAAGAAAUCCCAAAGGUUAAUACCUUUUGGGGAUGACGGUACCGGAAGAAUAAGCACCGGCUAACUUCGUGCCAGCAGCCGCGGUAAUACGAAGGGUGCAAGCGUUACUCGGAAUUACUGGGCGUAAAGCGUGCGUAGGCGGUUUGUUAAGUCUGAUGUGAAAUCCCCGGGCUCAACCUGGGACCUGCAUUGGAUACUGGCGAGCUAGAGUACGGUAGAGGGUGGUGGAAUUCCCGGUGUAGCAGUGAAAUGCGUAGAGAUCGGGAGGAACACUCGUGGCGAAGGCGGCCACCUGGACCAGUACUGACGCUGAGGCACGAAAGCGUGGGGAGCAAACAGG
rnacentral:rRNA from 1 species